GACGAACGCUGGCGGCGUGCUUAACACAUGCAAGUCGAACGAAGUGGCGAACGGGUGAGUAACGCGUAAUAAACCUGCCCUUCAGAGGGGGACAACAGUUGGAAACGACUGCUAAUACCGCAUACUGAAGGAGGGGAUUGCGGCUGAUUGGCUGGUUGGAGGGGUAACGGCCCACCAAGGGGAUGAUCAGUAGCCGGUCUGGUGGGAUGACCUGCCACAUGGGGACUGGGACACGGCCCAGAAUCCUACGGGAGGCAGCAGUGGGGAAUUUUCCGAAAUGGACGAAAGUCUGACGGCGCAACGCCGCGUGAGUGAUGACGGCCUUCGGGUUGUAAAGCUCUGUUAAUCGGGACGCGGUACCGGAAUAGAAAGCCACGGCUAACUACGUGCCAGCAGCCGCGGUAAUUC
rnacentral:rRNA from 1 species